CAAGAAUGAUGGGCGAUUCUGCAUACAAGAACACUAUAGACUGCUUCGUCAAAACACUGAAGAGCGACGGUCCUAUGGCAUUUUACAAAGGUUUCCUCCCUAACUUUGGACGCCUUGGCUCAUGGAAUGUCAUCAUGUUUUUGACCCUCGAACAGGCAAAGAAGUAUGUCCGAGAACUAGGUUCAUCUAAAUAAUACGGAGACACACAAAGUUUCAGGCAGAGAUAAUAAGAGCACCACUGUUUUCUAGUUAAUUUCGGUGGUCGAGAGAGAGGACUAGAAUCUUCCAGAAUAGCGAGUUGUUUUCAAUCAAAACUGUGAAAUAAAUUUCCUGUUGGUAGUAGCUCAUAUUUGGGCUUGUACCAUUCAAACAUUUAUAUGAACACCAGAGAUCCAUCUAAAUAAUC